AACGAACGCUGGCGGCAUGCCUAACACAUGCAAGUCGAACGAAGCCUUCGGGCUUAGUGGCGCACGGGUGCGUAACGCGUGGGAAUCUGCCCCUUGCUUCGGAAUAACAGUUAGAAAUGACUGCUAAUACCGGAUGAAGUCUUCGGACCAAAGAUUUAUCGGCAAGGGAUGAGCCCGCGUAGGAUCAGGUAGUUGGUGGGGUAAAGGCCUACCAAGCCGACGAUCCUUAGCUGGUCUGAGAGGAUGAUCAGCCACACUGGGACUGAGACACGGCCCAGACUCCUACGGGAGGCAGCAGUGGGGAAUAUUGGACAAUGGACGCAAGUCUGAUCCAGCAAUGCCGCGUGAGUGAUGAAGGCCUUAGGGUUGUAAAGCUCUUUUACCAGGGAUGAUAAUGACAGUACCUGGAGAAUAAGCUCCGGCUAACUCCGUG
rnacentral:rRNA from 1 species